UAAUACGGGAGGUGCGAGCGUUAAUCGGAAUUACUGGGCGUAAAGCGAGCGUAGGCUGUUAAUUAAGUCGAAUGUGAAAUCCCCGGGCUCCACCUGGGAACUGCAUUCGAAACUAUUUAACUAGAGUAUGGGAGAGGAAAGUAGAAUUUCCGGUGUAGCGGUGAAAUGCGUAGAUAUCGGAAGGAAUACCAGUGGCGAAGGCGACUUUCUGGAACAAUACUGACGCUGAGGUUCGAAAGCGUGGGGAGCAAACAGGAUUAGAUACCCUGGUAGUCCACGCCGUAAACGAUGAGAACUAGAUGUUGGGAGGAUUGGCCUCUCAGUGUCGCAGCUAACGCAAUAAGUUCUCCGCCUGGGGAGUACGACCGCAAGGUUG
rnacentral:rRNA from 1 species